GACGAACGCUGGCGGCGUGCUUAACACAUGCAAGUCGAACGGAAAGGCCCUGCUUUUGUGGGGUGCUCGAGUGGCGAACGGGUGAGUAACACGUGAGUAACCUGCCCUUGACUUUGGGAUAACUUCAGGAAACUGGGGCUAAUACCGGAUAGGAGCUCCUGCUGCAUGGUGGGGGUUGGAAAGUUUCGGCGGUUGGGGAUGGACUCGCGGCUUAUCAGCUUGUUGGUGGGGUAGUGGCUUACCAAGGCUUUGACGGGUAGCCGGCCUGAGAGGGUGACCGGCCACAUUGGGACUGAGAUACGGCCCAGACUCCUACGGGAGGCAGCAGUGGGGAAUAUGGCACAAUGGGCGGAAGCCUGAUGCAGCAACGCCGGGUGCGGGAUGACGGCCUUCGGGUUGUAAACCGCUUUCGCCUGUGACGAAGCGUGAGUGACGGUAAUGGGUAAAGAAGCACCGGCUAACUACGUG
rnacentral:rRNA from 1 species